AUUGUGCCAGCGGCCGCGGUAAUACGGAGGAUCCAAGCGUUAUCCGGAUUUAUUGGGUUUAAAGGGUGCGUAGGCGGGAGAUUAAGUCAGUGGUGAAAGUUUGCGGCUCAACCGUAAAAUUGCCAUUGAUACUGGUUUUCUUGAGUACAGUUGAGGUAGGCGGAAUGUGGUGUGUAGCGGUGAAAUGCUUAGAUAUACCACAGAACACCGAUUGCGAAGGCAGCUUACUAAGUUGUGACUGACGCUGAAGCACGAAAGCAUGGGGAUCAAACAGGAUUAGAUACCCUGGUAGUCCAUGCCGUAAACGAUGAUCACUAGCUGUUUGCGAUAUAUUGUAAGUGGCAAAGGGAAACCAUUAAGUGAUCCACCUGGGGAGUACGCCCGCAAGGGUGAAACUCAAAGGAAUUGACGGGGGCCCGCACAAGCGGAGGAACAUGUGGUUUAAUUCGAUGAUACGCGAGGAACCUUACCUGGAUUUAAAUGGGGAGUGACAGGGGUAGAGAUACCUUUUUCUUCGGACACUCUUCAAGGUGCUGCAUGGUUGUCGUCAGCUCGUGCCGUGAGGUGUCGGGUUAAGUCCCAUAACGAGCGCAACCCACGUUGUUAGUUACCAGCAUGUAGUGAUGGGGACUCUAACAAGACUGCCGGUGUAAACCGCGAGGAAGGUGUGGAUGACGUCAAAUCAGCACGGCCCUUACAUCCAGGGCUACACACGUGUUACAAUGGCCGGUACAGAGGGCAGCUACCCCGCGAGGGGAUGCGAAUCCUAUAAAACCGGUCUCAGUUCGGAUUGGAGUCUGCAACCCGACUCCAUGAAGCUGGAUUCGCUAGUAAUCGCGCAUCAGCCAUGGCGCGGUGAAUACGUUCCCGGGCCUUGUACACACCGCCCGUCAAGCCAUGGGAGCCGGGGGUACCUGAAGUCUGUAACCGCAAGGAGCGGCCUAGGGUAAAACUGGUGACUGGGGCUAAGUCGUAACAAGGUAACCAAU
rnacentral:rRNA from 1 species